rnacentral:rRNA from 1 species
GUGUCAGCAGCCGCGGUAAUACGUAGGGUGCGAGCGUUGUCCGGAAUUACUGGGCGUAAAGAGCUCGUAGGCGGUUUGUCGCGUCGUUCGUGAAAACUUGGGGCUUAACUCCAAGCGUGCGGGCGAUACGGGCAGACUUGAGUACUACAGGGGAGACUGGAAUUCCUGGUGUAGCGGUGAAAUGCGCAGAUAUCAGGAGGAACACCGGUGGCGAAGGCGGGUCUCUGGGUAGUAACUGACGCUGAGGAGCGAAAGCGUGGGUAGCGAACAGGAUUAGAUACCCUGGUAGUCCACGCCGUAAACGGUGGGUACUAGGUGUGGGUUCCUUUUCACGGGAUCCGUGCCGUAGCUAACGCAUUAAGUACCCCGCCUGGGGAGUACGGCCGCAAGGCUAAA